UUGGCAGAAGAGCGGGCUGGGUUACGCAGCUCUCAGGUGCCGGUUUUUGUGGGUCGCUUUUCGAGGAUUAGGCAGCUUUCCAGGGCUCUGACAAGACCGAGUUCCAGAGAAUGCGUUCUGGGCCACAAGCUUAGGGAUAGAGUCCCUUCCCAGGAACUGUUCCCCAGUUCAGAAUUCCUCCCACCUGCCCGAGAUCGGCGAUGAGUACCAGCUGGAGGAUCCUUUCGUCCUCGUCAUCCCAGAAACAGACCCGCGUAACGCUGGAUCACCCACACUGCACCACGAACAGGCACUCUCACACAACGAUACCCAUGCCCGAACUUCCACCGACACUCGCUGACACACCUGUGACACUCCUCGUGACAUAGUGACACAGAGAUAUGGGAAAACACACGGUGAUUCCCC